rnacentral:rRNA from 1 species
AUGAGUAGAGGGGGAAAGUUUAAGAGAGAUGACAAGAAAAAUAUUGCUGAUUUCUUUGGAGUGGGUGACUGGAAUAUACAAGGUCUAGCGGUAGAUGUUUCAAGUCAGAGGAAAGGAAAUUGUGGAAGAAAGCCAAAAUGCAUCAAUCUAGAGCAAAUCCCUACCAUAACACUGAAUAAGAGGUCUACUAUCAGGUCACUGGCUUGGCAACUCGGGUGCAACCCUACGACACUCCACCGGAAGUUCAUGCUAAAGUUGAUAAAGAGGCACGCAAACUGUUUGAAGACAGUUCUGAAUGAAAAGAACAAGAAGGAUAGAAUGAAAUUUUGCUUGUCAAUGCUUGAUGAGACAACAACACAAACUGAAAGGCCAAAAUUCAAGACCAUGCACAACAAUAUUCAUAUUGAUGAUAAAUGGUUCUAUAUGACCAAGAAAAAAAGGAACUAUUAUCUGCUGUAUGGGGAGGAAGAGCCUAUGAGAACUCUGCAAAAUGGCAGUUGUAUUGGAAAGGUUAUGUUCUUGACAGCUGUUGCUAGGCCGAGGUGGGAUAAUGAAGGAAAUGUGACCUUCUCUGGAAAAAAUUGGAAUUUGGCCAUUUGUGAAAGAAGUUCCGGCUCGGAGGAGAAGCGACAAUAG